ensembl:lncRNA
AUAGUCACGCCUACCAGAUGCUACACGAAGACCAAGAAGUAUUAAUUACUAUCAAUAGACCCAAGUUCAAUAGCUUGAGCUGCAGGGGUAACCAGGUUCACAGUGAUGCUUGCGCCAUCAUCUGCAGUGAACAGUACUGGUGCUGAAAAUUGUUCAGAGGUGAUGCUAGUGAUAAUCACGCAGAGUCUUUGACUGUUGUGAUGCCCUCACUGGGCAUCCUUGCUGAGGGGCCAAUGGUGCAGGUGGAUCUCUUUUUUGCAGGUACAGAAGGACGUGCUCUGUAGAUUAUUCCAGCAGAUAAGUUUCUUUCUGAGAAACAAGCUCAACCAGGAGAUGUUGCCAUGAAAUCUGGACCUUUUAAGGUAAGUCAAGUAUUUGCAGUAACAGAUGAAAUUUUAUAUGUGUCACUGUGGAACAACAGUGCUAGACAUGACAGGUGAGGCUUCCUUUUGUACCAUCCCCACUGAACAUUUCUCAAAGAACUUUCUGUGAAAAUUCUUUGCCUCUUCUACCCUGUGGGUAGGCCAGAACUGCAUGUAUCCUUCAGUUUCUGGAGCUGAUCUGUCGUGCUACAGCACAGCAUUAAGCAUCAUUCAUUAUGUUUGUAGCCCUUACCUACCAUAGCUCCAUUUCUACUCCCAGCACAGCAAGCAGCAGGUCUGUUUUAUCUGGUGAGAGCACAGCAUGAAGUGGGCUGCUGAGACUACUGGCAUCCAGCAUGACGCCCUCUACAGUCCCAGGCAAUGCAGUGAGUAAAUGGCUCUUGGCACAGGCUGGCUUUUGCUGUGCUGCGGGUGGUAACCUAUUGUCUGAAGUGGGUUCUUCAUCUACUGACCUUUCCAGCAGCUGUUCUGGAAUAGCACAGAAGUGAUGAAAUCAAUGGGAAUGUUACAAAAGCACAGCUUCCACCGUAUGUUUCCUGGAGCUUGCUCUGACACCAGUAUGCCAUGUGUCCUACUCUCCCCAUGUUGCCACACAAACCUCGUGAUGCCUUGGCUCUCUGCACAGUCCUGAAACUGUUGUACACAUUGCUGGGGAUCCUACUUUCACAUGGGAGCCGCUUCUGAAAAAUCCCUAAUGCUAAGGGUACAGCUGCUUGCAGCCACAGCACUCAGAAGAGGCACGAUAUUUUUCAUAAUUUGCGGACCAUGUAUGCAUACUUUAGACAUUUCUCUAUCUGCAGAACAUGUGGAUCUGAACUCUGUCUCCCACUGUACAUUCCAGUGCCUGAAUGUUAAGAGUUCCUCUUCUCAGUCAACCAGUGCAAUGUAUGGACCAGAUCUCUGUGCUGAGUCUAAAAUAAUCUAUUUGGUUCUAUCUCCACCCUACUAAGUAACUGUAGAUGAGAUGCAUUAAUGGUCUUUGCCUCACUUUUUUUUCUCUGUAAAACUGCGGUAGUGAUCCUGGUUUAUUUGUAGAAAACAAAGUUCAACUGAUGAGAAGAGCUAUCAAAGAGCUAAGUGUUGUCAUUACCUGAGCGAUCUUUUCAUUUCUCCAUUAAUCUUGUAAAAGACACAGGUACUCUGCUUACCAAACCUCAUCUACAAGACGGUACAAUGGUGAGGACUCAUUACAAAUUAUAGAAAAAAAAUUCUGGAAAACAGAUCCUUUUGUCUUGCCCCAGUGGUGCCAAUUGGACUAGGAGGCUUUUUAAAAUGAGAAUUUAUCUUUACAAAGAUUUGUAGCCAAGCCUUUCCAGUUUGUUAAAAUGUAAUUAAUGUCUGCUUGUUAAUAUGAUGUUCAUUGAUUUUUAAAGUACACAGACUUCAAAGCAGAAAAUAAAUAAAUAAAAAGAGAGAUAAUUCAAACCAGAGUGGAACAGCUCGGACAGUUUUACUCUUUUGCCAGGAUCCCAAAGCUGUUGUGUUCAAACAAUGCCACAGUUUGAGUGGAAAUGUGAGAUUAAAUCCAAACCCCACAUGUCAGCUUUUUUGCAAAUGACUAUCCAGGAUUUCACUAAAAUGUUCAACCACAACAGAUCAUGUUGCAGGGAUUUUUAUUGCUUAACAGCUCGUGAUAGUCUUCUGUUUCUCUACUAUGCAUAAUAGGCCCAUGCAUCUAGAAACUAGUAAAUAUCAGUGAAAUGUUGGUACCUAACUCUGUUAGACGCUUUGGAAGGAGUAUUUCAAAUUGUCAAAAGAGGAAAGAGUUUACAAAGAUGAUGGGUGGUUACAGAAGCUCCCAGUGACAUAUCAAUGCAGUGUGGCACACAAGGGAACGUACUCGGUAUGGAACAGAAUUUUAUCACAGUAAUGGAGAAAAGAUGCAAGAAUCAGAUGGAGAUUAUUUCAAAUUCAUGCAGGAGUUCAAAGCUGUGGUUGAGGAAUGACACGAGGAGACUGCAGAACUCUAGAGAACACCUUCUGAAAAAGGCUUGGAGGACAGAAAAGUGAAAAUAAUCAUCCAUGGAAGAAGACUAUGCAAGUACAAGAGGGAGGAUGGAAAUGGCCACUGCAGGAGAGAUGAAGCAGAGCAACACACUUGCUUGACUGGAGAAGGAAAACAUUUCACUAGCAAAGAAGAAAGGAAGGGAAAAUAUCCCUCUAAGACAAAAUAAGACAGUGGAGACAAGCAGGAUUGAGACUCAACAGGACAGAAUGAGGGAGAAAAGAAGACAGAUUGAUUUCCAGACAAGCAAAAGAGAAGAGGGGAUCCCACCACACCACUGAGACCUGUGUGUCUGUGACUGUGGACAAGUCUCUUAAUUGCUUAGAACAAGGGAGGAACAAUGUCAAGCUGAAAGACAGAGAGAUGCCUUCUCUCCCAUAGCUAGGAAUGUAAGAUGUGCACAGGUGGCAAAGAGAAUAAGUAAAGGUGAUGGUAGCAAGGACUGUAUUUCAUUCAGGACAAAAUGGAAACAUGUCAAGAAUAAAUCUAAUGGGAAGAGGACAGUACUUUAAGAUAGAGAUGCUCCAGUAGUUUUUCUACUGAAUUCUUCCAGUUCUUGUGGAAAAUUAUAAGUGAAGGAAAAGUGAUACAGGCUCUCAGAAAUAGAUCUGUGAAGGAAAUCUGAGGAUGUUUUAAUACUGAGAGGCAAACACCUGAAGCAGGUACUUCUCUGAAGGUGGUCUCCAUUUGGCUGCUUGUGACACCAGCCUUCCAGUGAGUAAAGGUACCUCUCAGGUGUAAAAUAGCAGGAAGUGGGCAUGAGAGUACUGUCUGAUCUAACCGACAGGAAAAGAAAAAAACUUGAUAUGAAAUAUAUUAAGGGAUGACAGUCCUCAAAAGAGAAAAGUGCACUGAAAUAGAAGUAUUAAUCCUCCACUGGUCCCAGUGUGAGAAGAUAAUUUUCUCUAAAAAGUUUGAAAUUGCCAUUCACUUUGUAAUGGCGGAUUUACUGUAGGAUGCCAUCCAUGGUGAGCACAGAAGGAGGUUAGCUGUGUGAGAACAUCUAAGCCUUCAUUCCUGUACUGCAUACAGUGUAAGUGUUGUGGUCUCUUUCUGUUCUUUGAAAACUGAGGGGCCACCUAAGAUAAAAUGCUUCAUCGUUAUCCCAGACAGUCUUGACAGGAGAGGUAGUCAAUGCGAACACUGUCCCAAGAGGUAAAAAAAAAAAAAGAAAGAAAGAAAGAAAGAAAGAAAGAUUGGAGACAAAUAGACAAAUCACUGAGUUCAGGAUUAUCUGCUUGCUUUAGAAAUUGCAUUUUGCAAUAGUCUCCCCAUCUGAGUGAUCACACCGGGACCAGGCUGCAGGCAUGGCUUCAUCUAAACUUUCACGAAAGCUCCUGAGUUCUUCCUGAUUUCUGAAGACACCAAGUGAGCUGGAAGUCACCAGCGUGCUCUCAACAUCAUCCUGUUGGGUCAUCACCAAGCAGGCAAGCUGUCAAAAUGAAGAUUGGCCAACUUCACUUAUGGGGAUUUAGCACAGUUUUCCAGAGUGGUUGCUGGAAGGUUUCACAUGACCUGACCCUCCCAAAGCCUCCCUGAGUGAACAGAGGAAAAGACAAGUCCUUCUGUGGAGCAUUUCAGAGCCAGAGCCUACCACAGCAGCAUCGAAACGUUCUUGCAAAUCAUUUCCCUCUCUUUCAGCUUUGCGAAGGGCCCAUGGAUGCUGCAGGCUACUAGGAGCCUGUGUGAAUCCUUCCAUCAGUCUGCUGUCCCACGCACUGUUGGUACUUGUAUGCACGUUACUAUGAAAGUCAAUCACACUUUUAUGACUGAUGUUUAAGACAUGAAGCCAUAAAAUUCUUCAUGCAGUUAGUAAGUUUAAAUGAAUUAUUUAGGUUGUUUCCUCCCACACACCCCUCCCCAUUAACUUACUCCUGAGGGAAAUGUAUUUAUGGAGCCAUGUGCUUCUCACAUGGUUGAAGCUAAAAAUAAGCUUAAAAAAAUCAUUCUGGAUAAAAUUUAAUUUGAAAUCCAGUUCAGCAGCCUAACACAGGCUAUCACUGGUUUCUUAAGACUGGUUUCUCUGUUUGUAACGAUAACCUUGACCAGUCUUUUGAGUGCUGAUUGCUUCUGGAUUUCUCAUACUCUCAUUUUGUUAUAUACAUGUGGAUACAUUUUGUGUGUGUGUGUUCUGAGGCUUUUUUGGGGGGUUGGUUUGGUUUUGUUUGAUAGUGUUGGAGUGUAGAGAGGCUUAUCAGACACUGAAAACCAUGAACUGUUUUUCCCACGAUCUUUUAGUCAAUGAUCAACAGAUCGGAUGCUUCAAAAGGUCUGAACCCUUAUGGGUCACAUCCUUCUUCCAUGUAAUUCCGUAUGAGUAUUGUCACUUGUUUUAAAGAAGCCAAACUUCAGCCCAUAAUGGACAAUUAUGCAACCCUUGGAUGAAAGGGAUGUUUUCUCCUUGCCCUAGAUAAUUAAGUAAAAUGAGGAUCCUUCCAUUCCCAUCACUAGUUUAUUUUUUUAAUUAGUCUUGAGAUGACUGCAUCCUGAGCUCCAAGUACCGACAUCAUUGAGAAGGGAGAUUUCAGCAUAAUUUUUUCUCUGUACGUCACAGCCUUUUCGCCUGAGCACUCUUCCACAGACAGCUCUCAGCUGUUCUCAGUGGGACCCAGGCUGGUAGAGUUCCCUUAGUGCAGGGCAACACACAGGCUUACUUUGCUAUGUCAUUUCUCCUACAUUCUUCUAUCUGCAUUCCGUCACUGCUGCAUUCUCUGUUUGGAAGGGAAUUUGCUCUCAUUUUCCUUUCACUUUUAGUUGUAUUGGUUUUACUUUAUCUGCCAAAUUUAACACAUCGCUUCUCAGCUUCUUCCCAAGUAGUGAAUAGGUGUGGCACCCCAGAGCCUUGCUCCAUACUGAAGUCUAAUUGAUGUAUGUGCAAGUGUGUGCAUUAUUCUGCUGGUUCUGGAUUGUUACUUUUUAAGCAGUUUUCGGCAGUUGGUAAAAUGUUGUUCUUUCUACCAUGCUUAGUUCAUAAAUAAUCGCCAGUGAGAGUUCUUCUGCAAGGCUGUGUCUGCAAGGCUUUGUCUGUUAUUCUGCUGAAACAGCUGAAGAAUGCCGGUGGACCGCAGAGGUAUCCUAUCUCUUGUCAUGUUAUGCUUCAAGUGCUCUAUUUCCUUAUCGACCAAAUCAAUUAUUUUACUUGGUAAUGACAUCUGCAAUAAGUAGAUGUCAUUAGAUAUGGAACCGCCGCACUCUGGGAAGCAGAACUGUUUGUAGUCCAGCUGCUUCCAAGAGUAUCGCCAUCAGUUUGUUAAAGGCAGAAUCACAGCCGCUGUGCUUAAUUGUAAAGACCAUUGCAAGAAUGCGACAUAGCAGAACAAUUUAAACAUCUACAUAAUGAUUUUUUUUUCCCCACGAUCCUAAAUGCUUUCUACUUCAAAUUAACUUAUUAGGCAACUAAUAAGGCAACUAAUAAUUAGGCAACUGUAUAACAUAGGUGAAUUUGUUUGGGAUUCCUGAGGGUUUCAGGUUCAGUACCUUUAGCCAUUGCUACCAUUUGGGUCAUCCAACACACCAGCGAUCUGCGGCAUUUGGUUCCACACGCGUCCAGUUCAUCUCUCCAGAUCUGAUCUCUCCAAUCACACCUGUACCAGCAGCCUGGGAUGACCCAGCCUUACAGACCUCUUAUGUCCUGUGCCUGCUUUGUGCCUAGAAUUCCUGUUCCAAUUAAAGAUUUCUUCAUUCUGUUUCAAGUUGUUUCUUGUUUAAACAAGAUCUUUUUAGCGUCUCCAUGUACUGUAGAGAGAUCCUUCAUGCACAAGGGUCUGAUCCUGCCUGCACUGAAAUUCAUUUCUUUGUUGUAUUAUCAGCGUGCCACAUGGCUCUGUAACAGGUAAGACUGCACCAAGCACACUGCCACCAUCUCUACAGAAGAUUCGUUUCACACAAGUGCUUUUCCCUGCAUCUCAGCAAACAUACCUGUUUAAAAAGACUGUUGUCAAAGCAGCGGAUCAUUCAGACAGCUCUGUAGGGAUCACAGUGUUUGUCACUGUGCUUGGAUUUGGGUACCAGUGGGCUCAGCACCAGGGCUUUAGAAAGAAGGGAAUGGCAGGGAAACACCUGUCCUCAUGGUCCUUGUUUCUGCCACCUUUGUAGCAGCCACUACCCAGGAGGCACCACCUCACCAAU